rnacentral:rRNA from 1 species
AGUUAAGUGAAUAAGGGCGCACGGUGGAUGCCUUGGCACUAGAAGCCGAUGAAGGACGGGACUAACACCGAUAUGCCUCGGGGAGUUGUAAGUAAACUUUGAUCCGGGGAUUUCCGAAUGGGGGAACCCACUGUUCGUAAUGGAACAGUACAUGCAUCUGAAUACAUAGGGUGCAUGAGGUAGACCCGGGGAACUGAAACAUCUCAGUACCCGGAGGAAGAGAAAGAAAAAUCGAUUUCCUGAGUAGCGGCGAGCGAAACGGAAAGAGCCCAAACCAGAAAGCUUGCUUUCUGGGGUUGUAGGACAUUCCAUUGGAGUUACCAAGGAAUUCUUUAAAUGAAUCGACCUGGAACGGUCAGCCAAAGAAGGUAAGAGCCCUGUAGUUGAAAGAGAAUUCCCUCCGGAGUGUAUCCUGAGUACGGCGGAACACGUGGAAUUCCGUCGGAAUCCGGGAGGACCAUCUCCCAAGGCUAAAUACUCUCUAGUGACCGAUAGUGAACCAGUACCGUGAGGGAAAGGUGAAAAGCACCCCGGAAGGGGAGUGAAAUAGAACCUGAAACCGUGUGCCUACAAGUAGUCGAAGCCCGUUAAUGGGUGACGGCGUACCUUUUGUAGAAUGGACCGGCGAGUUACGAUCAUAUGCAAGGUUAAGUGGAAGACACGGAGCCGCAGCGAAAGCGAGUCUGAAUAGGGCGAAUGAGUAUGUGGUCGUAGACCCGAAACCGUGUGAUCUACCCAUGUCCAGGGUGAAGGUCAGGUAACACUGACUGGAGGCCCGAACCCACGUAUGUUGAAAAAUGCGGGGAUGAGGUGUGGGUAGGGGUGAAAUGCCAAUCGAACACGGAGAUAGCUGGUUCUCUCCGAAAUAGCUUUAGGGCUAGCCUCAAGAAAUAGAGUACUGGAGGUAGAGCACUGAUUGGACUAGGGGCCCUCACCGGGUUACCGAAUUCAGUCAAACUCCGAAUGCCAGUUACUUUUACUUGGGAGUCAGACUAUGGGUGAUAAGGUUCAUAGUCGAAAGGGAAACAGCCCAGACCGCCAGCUAAGGUCCCAAAGUAUACGUUAAGUGGAAAAGGAUGUGGAGUUGCCCAGACAACCAGGAUGUUGGCUUAGAAGCAGCCAUCAUUUAAAGAGUGCGUAAUAGCUCACUGGUCGAGUGACUCUGCGCCGAAAAUGUACCGGGGCUAAACGUAUCACCGAAGCUGCGGAUUGUUCUUACGAACAAUGGUAGGAGAGCGUUCUAAGUGCUGUGAAGUCAGACCGUGAGGACUGGUGGAGCGCUUAGAAGUGAGAAUGCCGGUAUGAGUAGCGAAAAAAGAGUGAGAAUCUCUUUCACCGAAUGCCUAAGGUUUCCUGAGGAAGGCUCGUCCUCUCAGGGUUAGUCGGGACCUAAGCCGAGGCCGAAAGGCGUAGGCGAUGGACAACAGGUAGAUAUUCCUGUACCACCUCAUGAUUGUUUGAGCGAUGGGGGGACGCAGUAGGAUAAGGAAUGCGCACCGAUGGAUGUGUGCGCCCAAGCAGUGAGAAAGUCAGAUAGGCAAAUCCGUCUGGCAAUUUCAAGCUGUGAUGGGGAGGGAAAUUGAGUACCGAAGUUCCUGAUUUCACACUGCCAAGAAAAGCCUCUAGUUAGAUCAUAGGUGCCCGUACCGCAAACCGACACAGGUAGGCGAGGAGAGAAUCCUAAGGUGAGCGGGAGAACUCUCGUUAAGGAACUCGGCAAAAUGACCCCGUAACUUCGGGAGAAGGGGUGCUUCAUUUACAUGGAGCCGCAGUGAAUAGGCCCAAGCGACUGUUUAGCAAAAACACAGGUCUCUGCGAAGCCGAAAGGCGAAGUAUAGGGGCUGACACCUGCCCGGUGCUGGAAGGUUAAGGGGAAAUGUUAGC